UACAGAGGGUGCGAGCGUUGUUCGGAAUUAUUGGGCGUAAAGGGUGCGUAGGUGGCAUGGUCAGUCGGAUGUGAAAUCCCGGGGCUCAACCCCGGAACUGCAUUCGAUACUGCCGUGCUGGAGUACUGGAGAGGAGAUUGGAAUUUACGGUGUAGCAGUGAAAUGCGUAGAUAUCGUAAGGAAGACCAGUGGCGAAGGCGGAUCUCUGGACAGUUACUGACACUGAGGCACGAAGGCCAGGGGAGCAAACGGG
rnacentral:rRNA from 1 species